rnacentral:rRNA from 1 species
UACGUAGGGUGCAAGCGUUAAUCGGAAUUACUGGGCGUAAAGCGUGCGCAGGCGGUGAUGUAAGACAGAUGUGAAAUCCCCGGGCUCAACCUGGGAACUGCAUUUGUGACUGCAUCGCUGGAGUGCGGCAGAGGGGGAUGGAAUUCCGCGUGUAGCAGUGAAAUGCGUAGAUAUGCGGAGGAACACCGAUGGCGAAGGCAAUCCCCCUGGCAAGUUACUGACGCUCAGGUGCGAAAGCUAGGGGAGCGAACAGG